CCCUCAUAUGAAGUGUGAGCUUCAUACAAGAGAUCUGUGAAGUAUAGACAGAUACUUGCUACAUGGACAGAUUACAGUAAGGCUCAUUAUUUUGGAAGACCAGUUACUUUUCAGAAAGGAGUGGAACUUUCAGAAAUCAACAAGGACUUCAUUGAGUUUAUAACCUAACCGAGGAGCUCACCAUCAUGAAUCUUAGGAUUUUUGAGCUGGAAAAACCAACCCUGAAACCUAUACUUCCUAACUCCAGUCUUGACCUCUUAUGUUCCAGCAGUAUGUUACUACCUAGCCACUUUAUGAGAUGGGUGCUAUAAUAUCCCCAUGUAAUACAUGAGGAAUCUAAGGCAAGGAGAGCUUCUGCUACUUGUCAGAUGUUACAGUCACUAGGCUUGGAGCUUCAUCCUACAUGGAUCUCAUCCCAUUGAUCUGAAGCCUCGUCUGUACUGACUGAGGGGAGACUAUCC
rnacentral:lncRNA from 1 species